UACGUAGGGUGCAAGCGUUAAUCGGAAUUACUGGGCGUAAAGCGUGCGCAGGCGGUUCUAUAAGACAGAUGUGAAAUCCCCGGGCUCAACCUGGGAACUGCAUUUGUGACUGUAGAGCUGGAGUACGGCAGAGGAGACUGGAAUUCCUGGUGUAGCAGUGAAAUGCGUAGAUAUCAGGAGGAAUACCGAUGGCGAAGGCAGCUCGCUGGGACGUGACUGACGCUGAGACGCGAAAGCGUGGGGAGUAAACAGG
rnacentral:rRNA from 1 species